CCUACGGGUGGCAGCAGUGGGGAAUUUUGGACAAUGGGCGCAAGCCUGAUCCAGCAAUGCCGCGUGCAGGAAGAAGGCCUUCGGGUUGUAAACUGCUUUUGUACGGAACGAAAUAGCUCUGGCUAAUACCCGGGGUUGAUGACGGUACCGUAAGAAUAAGCACCGGCUAACUACGUGCCAGCAGCCGCGGUAAUACGUAGGGUGCGAGCGUUAAUCGGAAUUACUGGGCGUAAAGCGUGCGCAGGCGGUUAUGUAAGACAGUUGUGAAAUCCCCGGGCUUAACCUGGGAAUUGCAUCUGUGACUGCAUGGCUAGAGUGCGGCAGAGGGGGAUGGAAUUCCGCGUGUAGCAGUGAAAUGCGUAGAUAUGCGGAGGAACACCGAUGGCGAAGGCAAUCCCCUGGGCCUGCACUGACGCUCAUGCACGAAAGCGUGGGGAGCAAACAGGAUUAGAUACCCCUGUAGUC
rnacentral:rRNA from 1 species